rnacentral:misc_RNA from 1 species
GUGGAGUUUUUGUUUGUCUCUUGUCUUGUCGAGCAGGGAUCGUGGAUUCAAACACUGCAGAGUUGAUGGCUAUACACAAAGCAAUAGAGCUGUGUUUCUCUUUGCCCACUAUUUGCUCUUCUGCUCUUAAAAUAUACAUUGAAUCUUAUUCAAAACUUGCAGUUUCAUGGGUUAAGCAUCCAGAAUCGGCACCCUGGCACCUCUCAUCUGUAAUCAAUUCAAUGUAUAAGAACAUUAAGGCUCUCCCACCA